CGGGGUGUAAUUCAUCGGUAGAAUGCUCGGUUCGGGACCGAGAUGCACAGGGUUCAAUUCCCUGCACCCCGA
rnacentral:tRNA from 1 species